rnacentral:rRNA from 1 species
CCUAACGGGAGGCAGCAGUGGGGAAUAUUGGACAAUGGGCGAAAGCCUGAUCCAGCCAUGCCGCGUGUGUGAAGAAGGCCUUCGGGUUGUAAAGCACUUUCAGUGGGGAAGAAAGCCUUGGGGCUAAUACCCUCGAGGAAGGACAUCACCCACAGAAGAAGCACCGGCUAACUCCGUGCCAGCAGCCGCGGUAAUACGGAGGGUGCGAGCGUUAAUCGGAAUUACUGGGCGUAAAGCGCGCGUAGGCGGUCUGAUAAGCCGGUUGUGAAAGCCCCGGGCUCAACCUGGGAACGGCAUCCGGAACUGUCAGGCUAGAGUGCAGGAGAGGAAGGUAGAAUUCCCGGUGUAGCGGUGAAAUGCGUAGAGAUCGGGAGGAAUACCAGUGGCGAAGGCGGCCUUCUGGACUGACACUGACGCUGAGGUGCGAAAGCGUGGGUAGCAAACAGGAUUAGAUACCCCAGUAGUC